AAGCAGGCUUUUGCCUUGAAUAUUUUACCAUGGAAAAAAAAAUAGGACUUUGGUUCAAUUUUGUUGGUUUUAGGUACCAAAGUAAGGGUUAAAAGGAACAGUUGGGGGCAUUCUUAUUUAACUGUCAAAGGUGAAAUUCUAAAACCCCCG
rnacentral:rRNA from 1 species